rnacentral:lncRNA from 1 species
AUGUCCCCAGUGUUCAUUGGGUGGUGGUGGCACUCAGGUGUCCCCAGUGUCCCCAACGUCCUUUGGGUGGUGGUGGCACUCAGGCGUCCCCAGUGUCCCCAACGUCCUUUGGGUGGAGGUGGCACUCGGGUGUCCCCAAUGUCCCCAGUGUCCGUUGGGUGGUGGUGGCACUCGGGUGUCUCCAGUGUCCCCAGUGUUCAUUGGGUGGUGGUGGGACUCAGAUGUCCCCGGUGUCCCCAGCAUCCAUUGGGUGGUGGUGGCACUCGGGUGUCCCCAAUGUCCCCAGUGUUCAUUGGGUGGUGGUGGCACUCAGGUGUCCCCAAUGUCCCCAGUGUCCGUUGGGUGGUGGUGGCACUCAGAUGUCCCCAGUGUCCCCAAGGUCCUUUGGGUGGUGGUGGCACUCGGGUGUCUCCAGUGUCCCCAGUGUCCGUUGGGAGGUGGUGGCACUCAGGUGACCCCAGUGUCCCCAGUGUCCUUUGGAUGGAGGUGGCAUUUAGGUGUCUUGGGUGUCCCCAAUGUCCAUUGGGUGGAGGUGACACUCAGAUGUCCCCAAUGUCCUUUGGGUGGUGGUGGCACUCAGGUGUCCCCAGUGGCCCUUGGGUGGUGGUGACACUCAGGUGUCCCCAGUGUCCUUUGGGUGGUGGUGGCACUCAGAUGUCCCCAGUGUCCAUUGGAUGCAGGUGGCAUUUGGUUGUCUUGGGUGUCCCCAAUGUCCAUUGGAUGGAGGUGGCACUCAGGCAUCCCCAAUGUCCCCAACGUCCAUUGGGUGGUGGUGGCACUUGUGUGACCCCAGUGUCCCCAACGUCCAUUGGGUGGUGGUGGCACUCAGGUGUCCCCAGUGUCACCAACGUCCAUUGGGUGGUGCUGGCACUUGUGUGACCCCAGUGUCCCCAACGGCCCUUGGGUAGAGGUGGCACUCAGGUGUCUCCAGUGUCCCCAACGUCCUUUGGGUGGAGGUGGCACUCAGGUGACCCCAGUGUCCC